rnacentral:rRNA from 1 species
GACGAACGCUGGCGGCGUGCUUAACACAUGCAAGUCGAACGGAAAGGCCCUGCUUUUGUGGGGUGCUCGAGUGGCGAACGGGUGAGUAACACGGGAGUAACCUGCCCAUGACUUUGGGAUAACUUCAGGAAACUGGGGCUAAUACCGGAUAGGAGCUCCUGCUGCAUGGUGGGGGUUGGAAAGUUUCGGCGGUUGGGGAUGGACGCGCGGCUUAUCAGCUUGUUGGUGGGGUAGUGGCUUACCAAGGCUUUGACGGGUAGCCGGCCUGAGAGGGUGACCGGCCACAUUGGGACUGAGAUACGGCCCAGACUCGUACGGGAGGCAGCAGUGGGGAAUAUUGCACAAUGGGCGGAAGCCUGAUGCAGCAACGCCGCGUGCGGGAUGACGGCCUUCGGGUUGUAAACCGCUUUCGCCUGUGACGAAGCGUGAGUGACGGUAAUGGGUAAAGAAGCACCGGCUAACUACGUG